GAACAAUGGCGGCAGCUAUACAUGCAAGUCGAGCGGACAGAUGGGAGCUUGCUCCCUGAUGUUAGCGGCGGACGGGUGAGUAACACGUGGGUAACCUGCCUGUAAGACUGGGAUAACUCCGGGAAACCGGGGCUAAUACCGGAUGCUUGUUUGAACCGCAUGGUUCAAACAUAAAAGGUGGCUUCGGCUACCACUUACAGAUGGACCCGCGGCGCAUUAGCUAGUUGGUGAGGUAACGGCUCACCAAGGCAACGAUGCGUAGCCGACCUGAGAGGGUGAUCGGCCACACUGGGACUGAGACACGGCCCAGACUCCUACGGGAGGCAGCAGUAGGGAAUCUUCCGCAAUGGACGAAAGUCUGACGGAGCAACGCCGCGUGAGUGAUGAAGGUUUUCGGAUCGUAAAGCUCUGUUGUUAGGGAAGAACAAGUACCGUUCGAAUAGGGCGGUACCUUGACGGUACCUAACCAGAAAGCCACGGCUAACUACGUGCCAGCAGCCGCGGUAAUACGUAGGUGGCAAGCGUUGUCCGGAAUUAUUGGGCGUAAAGGGCUCGCAGGCGGUUUCUUAAGUCUGAUGUGAAAGCCCCCGGCUCAACCGGGGAGGGUCAUUGGAAACUGGGGAACUUGAGUGCAGAAGAGGAGAGUGAAAUUCCACGUGUAGCGGUGAAAUGCGUAGAGAUGUGGAGGAACACCAGUGGCGAAAGCGACUCUCUGGUCUGUAACUGACGCUGAGGAGCGAAAGCGUGGGGAGCGAACAGGAUUAGAUACCCUGGUAGUCCACGCCGUAACGAUGAGUGCUAGUGUUAAGGGGGUUCCGCCCCCUUAUGCUGCAGCUAACGCAUAGCACUCCGCCUGGGGGGAGUACGGUCGCAGGACUGAUACUCAAGCUGACGGGGCCCGCACAGCGUGAGCAUGUGUUUAUCGAAGCAACGCGAGACUACAGUCCUGGACAUCUCUGACAUCUAAGAAUAGGACGUCCUUCGGCGAUUGACGGUGUGCAUGCUGUCGUCACCUCGUUCUGGCAGUUAGUAGUCCGACUGAGCAACUGACUAUCGGCAGCAUCAGCUGGGCGAC
rnacentral:rRNA from 1 species